rnacentral:misc_RNA from 1 species
GAUGAAGAACGCAGCAAAAUGCGAUAAGUAAUGUGAAUUGCAGAAUUCAGUGAAUCAUCGAAUCUUUGAACGCACAUUGCGCCCGCCAGUAUUCUGGCGGGCAUGCCUGUUCGAGCGUCAUUACAACCCUCAGGCCCCCGGGCCUGGCGUUGGGGAUCGGCGGAGCCCCCCGUGGGCACACGCCGUCCCCCAAAUACAGUGGCGGUCCCGCCGCAGCUUCCAUCGCGUAGUAGCUAACACCUCGCGACUGGAGAGCGGCGCGGCCACGCCGUAAAACACCCAACUCUUCUGAAGUUGACCUCGAAUCAGGUAGGAAUACCCGCUGAACUUAAGCAUAUCAAUAAGCGGAGGA